rnacentral:rRNA from 1 species
CACGCCGUAAACGAUGUCAACUAGCCGUUGGGAGCCUUGAGCUCUUAGUGGCGCAGCUAACGCAUUAAGUUGACCGCCUGGGGAGUACGGCCGCAAGGUUAAAACUCAAAUGAAUUGACGGGGGCCCGCACAAGCGGUGGAGCAUGUGGUUUAAUUCGAAGCAACGCGAAGAACCUUACCAGGCCGUGACAUCCAAUGAACUUGCCAGAGAUGGAUUGGUGCCUUCGGGAACAUUGAGACAGGUGC